AAUGUUUGUGACAACAUCAACACCAGUCCAGCAUUAAGUGGAAUUUCUAGGUUGAAAGGCACAGCUUCUUCAAUUCUACUAGAUAAACCAUCUGAGUCUGGAGAUGGUGAUGAUGAAGAUGAUGACAGUGAUGAUGAUGAUGAUGAUGAAGAUGAUAAGGGUUCCUGGGGACAGCUCAAGGCUGCUGCCCGAACCCUGCUGAUGAGAUGACC